rnacentral:rRNA from 1 species
AACGAACGCUGGCGGCAUGCCUAACACAUGCAAGUCGAACGAGACCUUCGGGUCUAGUGGCGCACGGGUGCGUAACGCGUGGGAACCUGCCUUUAGGUUCGGAAUAACUCAGAGAAAUUUGAGCUAAUACCGGAUGAUGUCUUCGGACCAAAGAUUUAUCGCCUUUAGAUGGGCCCGCGUUGGAUUAGCUAGUUGGUGGGGUAAAGGCCUACCAAGGCGACGAUCCAUAGCUGGUCUGAGAGGAUGAUCAGCCACACUGGGACUGAGACACGGCCCAGACUCCUACGAGAGGCAGCAGUGGGGAAUAUUGGACAAGGGGCGAAAGCCUGAUCCAGCAAUGCCGCGUGAGUGAUGAAGGCCUUAGGGUUGUAAAGCUCUUUUACCCGAGAUGAUAAUGACAGUAUCGGGAGAAUAAGCUCCGGCUAACUCCGU